GCGGGUGUGGCGAAAUUGGUAGACGCGCUAGACUUAGGAUCUAGUGCCGCAAGGCUUGGGGGUUCGAGUCCCUCCAUCCGCACGA
rnacentral:tRNA from 1 species